rnacentral:lncRNA from 1 species
AGUGAGCUGCUAUUCAGACUCAGAAAGUAGCUUGGAGAAUACUCCAGACGUUAGGCUUUGCGAGUUUUUGUUUGUUUACAUAGAAAAGUCUCUUUUAAAUUUCCUUAUUCUUACACUGCAAAGAGACCUAACCUUGAUGGGUCCCAUCUGCAAUGCUCCUCCUGAAAAGAGACAGAGCUGUUUAACUGAACUGACCUAUUUGGAGGACGAAUAGACUGAUUGAAAAAGGUGCCCAGGAAGUCCUGGAACUGAGUCCUGGGGCAAGGUUCUGGAAGUUGGGACAAGAAGGCUGAACCUCGCUGGUGAUUCAGAUGGAUCAUGAGGAUCUUUCAACAAAGCUAAGUUCCCGUCUUUUAACGCAGUUAUUCUCAUACUUUUAUACUGAAAUAUCCAGAAUAGCAAAUGAGUUAAAUAUGUUUUCUGUGGGGUUCUGUACAAAGAAGAUUUAGAGCUUUAUGAACCUAAAAUAACAUAUCACAAGGAGAAAAUUUACUUGAAGUGGGAGACUUGGCUUAAAAGCAUCUAAUAUAAAUUGUAUAUUAUAUUCAAUAAUACAAAAGCAAUGCUUUAUUUAGAAUGAAUUAAAAUGCAUGCUUCAGACAAAAUGCAUGAUGUUUAGCUUUUGAUUUACUGAAUAUACUAUUCAACAGAUGUUUGAGUUACAUAGUUUGAGGAGCACAGGCCUUUGGUAUUGAUGGCUCCUGUUAAAAUAAAAACAUGUUUUCUGAGAGCAUAAUCAUAUGAAACCAGGAGCACAUAUUAACAUAAAACUCAAAUCACUUCCCCUGACUUUCUUCUUUCAAAUGUAAAGAAAGUGGGAAACAGGACAGAUGAAUUUGAAGAAACAGAAGAGCUCAGGAAAGUUCAAAGCAUGAAGCAAACUCAAAAGUAUAUCUAAAUACCUAGGGAGCACCUUCAAAGCACAAGGUACCUGAAGAUGAAACGGCAGAAGUGAAAAGAAUUGCUCGUGUAGUACAGGGCUAAAAUUGUACCUGAAGCAUCUCUGCUGCUAUCCCAGGAGAAGAAGAGUCGACAGUAGCUAUGGUAAACAUGCAUGGAAGCAUCAGGGAAAACAGAAAUUUAGAGAAGCAGAUAGAGUGAGCCCAAGGCAAGAUAAGGGUUUCUGGGUCUGAAUUUCAGAAAAGCCUGACUAUGGAGAGUGGGAGUUCCUGUUUUCUUUCAGUGACUUGCUAAUUUCAAUUUUGUGUGUGUGUGGCAUUAACAGAUUUUUGCCUAACUUGGGACAUUUUUAACAGUAGAGGAACUCUUCUGUCAGUUCUGAUAUGGUAAUUUUAAAACACAUAUUCUUUAACUGAACAUUCAUUAAAUCACUUGGCCAGGAAUCCAAAUAACAAAAUGUCUGUCAUGGAAUUCUGUGUGUAAUAGGAGUUAUGUAACUUGUUUCUUCUUAGUAGAGAGAAUAAAAAGUAAAGUCAAAACCACCCCCAGAUGACCAUUUUUAGCACUUUCAUUUUAUCGGGAGAGGUGAGCAACAUGCAGAAAAUAUAUAUUCUUGAAUUAAUCUCCUUUGGGUACAGAGAGAAAAGAGCUCAUUAUUCUUCUAACUGGCAACGUUUGAUUUUAUUGACACCCUAACAGUAUGUCAAUUGCUCAGUAUAUCUCCCUAGGCUGUAGUCUUGCAGACUUUCUUUUUUCUUUUUUUUUUUAACUUACCAAUUCUAUGAUGUAUUCCCAUGGAUGUCUCUUUUUAUGCUAUUUUACAAUCUAUUUCUAGAAUAAUCAUGGAAAUUUCAAUGGAAACAACAUAUCACAUUCUCUGUCUACUACAUAAGUAUGUCUUUUUUAUUUGUAAAUAGAUCAUAUUUUGCACAUAAUUAGGUAAUACCCACAUAUCUCAAUUUGGCUUAGGAAUUAUAUUGAAAGAUAGAAUUGCAUAAGGGUAGGGAUUUUACUUUUAAAUUAUUUUCAUGUCUCCAUGGAUUGGCUCUGUGCUUUACACCCAGUAGCUGUGAAACAAGUACUUAUUUAAUGAUGAAUGAAUAAAUAAAUAAAUAGUUAAAUGCAGCAACAAAAAUGUUGGUAGAUAUAUAGGAUUGUAGAAUCUAAUUGCUUAGUAGGAUCAUCAAGUUCUACCCAAAUUUGGUGUGGCAAACAGAACAAUGGUCCCUUAAGGAUGGCCUAGUCCUAACCUCCCAAACCUGGAAUAUGUUACCUUAUGUAACAAAGAGACUUUGCAGAUGUAAUUAAGUUAAUGAUCUUAAGACAGAAAUAUUAUUCUAAGUGAACUCAAUGAAAUUACAAUGAACAAUGUUCCUUAAAAGAGGAAGGCAAAAGUUCAGAAUGAAACACACAGACACACAUAAAGUGGCUACGAAAGCAGAAGUAGUGAGAGAUUUGAAGAUGCUACCUUACUAGAUUCAAAGACAGAGGAAGGGGUUAAAAUCUGAGGAAAUCAGGCAAGGCAGCCUUUCGAAGCUGCAGAAGAUGAGGAAAUGAAUUCUCCCUAGAACUUCCAGAUAGAAACAGCCCUACUGAUGCCUUGACAUUAGCUCAGUGAAACGUAUUUUCAGACUCUAACUUCCAGAUCUGUAGGAGAUAAAUUUGUGUUGUUUAAGCUACUACAUUUGUGGCAGUUUGUCAAAGUAGCAAAAGGAAACGUAUAUUUGGUAGGCAUCAGAAUUUCCUGAGCAAUAUAGUGUGAUUACCUUUGAAAAUUCUACUCAGCAGUCCUGGAAUUGCAGCCUGAAAUUUGAAAUUUACUAAGUGCUCCCACUAUAUCUGAGUCAGGAAUUACCUAGGAAACCAUGAUAUAUUGCAUUACACUAAUUUUGUACUUGAGAAAAAGCACAAUGUUAAAAUCUCAAGAACAUUAAUAUAGACUUAAGUACAAUUUAUCAUGUAAAAACAUAUUUGAAAAAGUAAGCCUGAAAAAAAGAAACAACUGAACUAUUAACACUAUAUUCUCUAACUAUAUAUUGAUUUUCUCCUUUUGCUUUUACACAGCGAACCACAUAUACUUUCACAGAGGGUGAUUUGGAUAAUAUGUUCCAUGCAUUGCUCCAAGCAGAAAUUCUCAAUCUAUCAUUUCUGCUUGUAUUAUUUUACACCUCUUAAAGACAUUCACAUUCCAUCACAGGGAGCCAAAAUCAGCCUGUUAUAUCUCUGUUUGCGAAUACCGCAAUACUUACUUUACUUUCUCCUGAAUAGAUUGUUAGUGGUUUUUAUUAUCUCCUGUAAAGAGUGUGAGAAAUGCAUGUUGCAAGGACACUUUUGUUUUAUUCACAUUAUUCUACUGAAUCAUGCUAACCAUAGCAUUACAUCUAUUUAUCUAUCUAGCUAUUAAACAUAUUCAGAAUACCUAACAACUUUAGGGGCAUUCAGUAUAUAGAAUAUGCUAGUAUUUGUUAUUUUCUAAAAAUUAAUAAUUAAGAAUGUCAUUCUAUUAUUGCAUUAGUGACUUAGUUAAAAUUUAGACCAUUAACAAAAAAGAGAUGAAAAAAAAAACAAAAAACAUUAGGCACUAAAGGAGUCCUCAGCAAUGGCUUUUUCAAAAUGAUAAUUUGGCAUCAUAAAGCGGGUAUUUGGUAACCAUACUCUAUUACAGAACAGCAAAUGGAAUUUAUGUUCUAUUUUCCCAUAUCCACUUCUUUACUAUAAUUUAGCAAUCAUUGUAAUUCUUACUAUAUAGUUAUUUCAAAUUUGAUAUGAUUCUUAAAGAUGCUCUGAUAGUAACAUUUUCUUUAGUGCCUCAUGUCACUCUCUCUCUCUUUCUUUAAAAAAUAAGUUGUCUUUACAGGAACAAAUUUCACUAUAGAUGCCUGACUUUCUCCUUUCAAAAUGAUUAUUGAAACUCAUUGAGAUCUGGCACUCUGUGUUUCUUAUUUUUAUUCCGUACGUAGGAAAAAAAGAACUCAGAGACACACAUGGUUUUAAGAGGCUGUGACUGUCAACUCUGCCCCUUCCUAUUGAAUAUUGAAGCCUUUAUGUUAUUGAAUACAUUGAAUAUAUUGCAAAUUGGAACCCCAUUAAUAGGAUUCUAAGAAGCCUUACUACUAGAUCUGGAUUCUAAGCCUCCUUGCUUGUAUGAUAGGUUAUUGUCUGAGACAUUAAGCAACUAGACCUAUGUUGGGACACUUGCUUCACAAGGUAAUGCGAUGUAUUAAUAAUGAGGAAAGAAAAAUUGCCCUGCUUGUGCUAGUGAGGAUCUUGAGCACUCUCUAUUUUCUCUUCACUCCUGCUUUAGUGGUUGCAGAAAAGAUUUUUUUUCUGUCAGAUGUACAUGCAGUAGCAAAAAAUUGAAGCAUCUUUCCUCACUAAUGAGCUGCAAAAUUUAACAGUUUGGGGGAGUCUCCAUGGAAACUUUUUAAUAUGGUGACCUAUGAGUGCUAAAUGUGUAUGAGGUGACAAUUCCUUCUACAUGGAAGACUGUCACAGAUAGCAUAUGGUAGGACUUUAUGAAAGCCACUAAAAUUAUUUCUGCCUCAGUUUCCAUCACUAUAAAGGCAUAAUCAUAUAAUCUCCAGUCAUAAGGAUUACUGAGAUAAUCUUUAAAUUUGCAUUAAAUUCCUUGGAGAUAGGCAUUAUAUAAAUAGGAAGCUCCAUAUUAAAUGAACAAAAUUUCAAUAAAGAGUGGCUACACUUAAUGGAUACAAUGUGGUCUGAAAUUUAAGUAAUUGACCAGAAAUCAGGACUUGGGACCAAUUACUGGACAUCCAAUUUGUGUCAUUUGAGAGAAAUUGCAUAGAACAUUCUUUCCUCAUUUUCAACAUUUACUUAUUACAUGAAGUAGAUAAUUUAACACUAAAUAAGGCUAUAGUUACAUUUUCUCCAUGUGUCACUGCAGGCUGCAAAAAAAAGUAUUAUAUUAAAUUAAUAGUCAGAAUCUUUCCCCAAAUGAUGAUAAUUGGAUCUCUGAUUGAAAGGACACCAAAGAAAUGGCUAGAGAAAAUAUAGCUCUGUCCUCAGUAUAUAGUAUUUUUAAUAAUAAUCUAUAUUUUUAAAGUAUUACAUCAUGUUCACUCCAAGAAGGGAGAAAAGAGCUCAAAACAUAUCUGGUGGCACAUCUGUAGUCCCAGCUACUUGGGAGAUUGAGGCAGGAGGAUCACUUUAGCCCAGGAAUUUAAGGCUGCUGUAAGCUAUGAUUGCACCUGUGAAUAGCUACUGUACUACAGCCUGGGCAAUAUAGGAGGAUACUGUCUCUUAAAAAAACAAAACAAAAUAUCUGACAUUUAGCUUAUAAAUCUCAUGUAUUAAUGGUUCAUAUUUCUGUUAUUCAUGCUGACAUAAUUAUUGUGAAGUCUUUUUGCAUGUGAUAAGAAUCUAUAUUCUUAUUCAAUAUCUAUUAAAUAUAUGGUACUCUGCUAGAGUAUUCUGAUGGACUCAGGGUAGAAAAAUGACUAAAACAACAGCUAUCUGAAUUUCUCUAUCUUAAUCAGUAUGCAUAGUGUUAACCUUAUAUAAGAAUGUCCCUAUAGUUAAUCAUUUGUGGUUUCAUUAAGCAGUAUUGAAGCUUUUAGAAGAAAUCACACAUACUGUGAUUUAAGGAAGCCUGGCAGUUACAACAGAAAAAAGAAGCUGAUUCAUGUAGAAUGUCUUGAAAUUUUGUCACUGGUAAUUUUGGCAAGAACAUUAUUAAUGUUAAGAUUUGUUUAUAACCAAUGAGAACACAUGGACACAGGGAGGGGAACAUCACACACCAGGGCCUGUCGGGGUUGGAGGACCAGGGGAGGGAUAGCAUUAGGAGAAAUACCUAAUGUAGAUGAUGAGUUGAUGGGUGCAGCAAACCACCAUGGCACGUGUAUAGGCAUACACUGUAACAAACCUGGAUGUUCUGCACAUGUAUCCCAAAACUUAAAGAAUAAUUUUAAAAAGUUUUUUUUAAAGAUUUGUUUAUAAAAUGGCAAAUUGCUUAAUCAGGGGAAUCCUCAUUGAGUUGAGAAGUAUGAGCUGUGAAGUAUGUUUUGCUGGAAAUAAACUUGUAAGCCGCUACAUAUAUAUUCUCCAAACAGAAAUAAACGCAAACAUCAUUUACCUGGAGGACAGGUUGAGAAUGAGUUAUAGCCUAACAUGACAUACAUAAGAAACUAAAAAAAAAAAAAAAAAAAAAAAAAAAAAAACAGAAUGAGGAUGAUACAUGAUCCCAAAAUAGAAGUAAGCAUUUUUUGGACAGAAAAGAUUCUGAAAAACUUGUGUCCCAAUGGUUCAUCCUUGAAUUGUAUCAUUGCAACUACCCCUCCCUCAUACAUAUACCAUGUCCUCUUCAUGAUUCUGAGAAAUUUUGAAGACCAGAUUCAAGGGGGUUCACAAAUGCCACUAAGACCUUCAUGUUACUAAGAAUGAUUAGUAUAUCAGCCUGGAGAAGCACUUGCUACAGGUUAGGCAAAUUAGGGUCCCCUUAUAGAAGAUGAUUAAAGUAGACAGAAGGAAUAAAAUUAACGUAUUAUUCAAUAAAUCUUCCUUAUGUCUCAUCUGGCUAAAUAAAAGUCCUGGGAAUAUAUUUAUAACUAACCAUUAUGCAAGUUCUUUCAACCCAAAAUAUUUUCUCCCUAUAUUAACUCUAUGUACUCCCCUACACACACACAUAUAUCUCCUAAACUUUUUAAACUAUUCUAAGUUAUGUGCUAGGAAUUGUACUAGGCAUUUUACAAAUAUAAAUUCACGCUAUUUGUACAUUUAGAAAAGUAAGAUACAAGAUUAUUUUUAAUCAAUAUUGACAAAAUUUAUCUUCUUUUUAAACAUAUUGACUAAAUAGUUCAGAGUUCAAAGAUGAAUUAUGAUAAAGAGUGUUUAGCAAAAUGUUUACACAUAAAAUACUUUGAACUCACUAGCAAUGAAGCAAAUAUUAUAGCCCGAAGACUCUCAGGAAAUUUAAUCCAGAAUGGAGGAUACUAAGUGAUGUAUGGAACUGCUUAUUCUACUUAAACAUCAAAACUCCACAUGAAUCUUCGAAGUGUAUCUCUGCGCCUUAAAUGAAAACACAGUUUUGACAUUGUUUAUUGCCUCUUGAGAGGAAACUCUGCUCAAUUCAUAAGUGAAUCAUGAAUUACCCAAUUUUUUCUUCCAUGGGCUUCUCUCAGGGUGCCCCUUGGUUUAACUUCAUUAUGUACAAACAUGGUAUUACCUUCCAUAACACAAUAUUUCAUAUACAGAGUGAUAUAUCAUUUAGAUGACUCUUUAGACCAUCGUUUUGAAAGCUACAGUUUUCUGAGCUAACAAUUAUAUUAUAGCUAUAUAGAAAUAAUAAAACCUUUUUUUUUUCUUUUUUUGAGAUGGAGUCUCACUAUGUCGCCCAGGCUGGAGGGCAGUGGCGCGAUCUCAGCUCACUGCAACCUCCGCCUCUCAGGUUCAAGCGAUUCUCCUGCCUCAGCCUCCCGAGUAGCUGGGUCUGCAGGUGCGUGCCACCAUGCCCAGCUAAUUUUUUGUAUUUUUAGUAGAGACGGGAUUUCACUCUGUUAGCCAGGCUGGUCUCCAUCUCCUGACCUCGUGAUCCGCCCACCUCGUCCUCCCAAAGUGCUAGUAUUACAGGUGUGAGCCACUGCGCCAGGCCAGUAAAAUCUUUCUUAAUUAAACAGCCCUAUAUUGUGCAACUAUAAUAGAAUAUGUGAUAACUAAAUUCAAAGGGUGAGAGAAUCAUAAAAGUUAUCGUACAUGCCUAAACUUAUGUACCAAAAUGUGCUAUGUACAUGCAUACAACUAAGUGUACUAGGCUUUCAUCAGAAGUCCCUUUUAGUUAUCUGCAGCUGCUUUAUUCCUUUUUGUAGAUCCCUUAUAAUUAUAAAAAUAUUUUUAUAUACAUUCGAAAUAUCUUAUGAUUAUAUAUAGUUACACAUAUUUGAUAUAUAUUUAUAUAUGUAUUACAGCGAUGUAUUUCUGAUCAGUGUUUUCUAACAACCACAAAUAUGUGGAAUAUAACUUAUACAAAAAACAUUUUGGAUGACAUAACAACUCAGAAGUAAUAAUUUUCCACACCAAUGACCUGUCUCUACUUCUAAUAUAAAGAAGGCAUCAAGAAGUAUGCUUUCUUAAAUAUGCUCCCCUUCAGCUGACAGUUUAUUGGCUACCAAGACCUAUAGUGAGGAGCAAAUAUACAUUUCUUUAUUUAGAAUAUUGACCCUUGGGAGAGGUGUAUUUCAAAUGCAUUUUUUUUUUUUUUGCAGGCUUGAGUGGUUAAGCUUUUUAACGAUAUAAUUCUACAGAGAUCAUUUCUUCCAAUUUUCUUUAAUUUUCAGUUAAGUAAUCUGUGACCUACUAUACCUAUUCAUUUGGGGAGAAUUACAAUGCAAUUUCAAUUUCAAUUGAAGUCUCUGACCCUUAUUUACUGAAUCAUAAGUAUUUCAUCCGAUUGUAUUUGUGAGCCAAGAACACUUUCUACUUAUUUGGGGAUGCUUCUUUUUAUUAUUUCCUCAGGAUAAGACAAACUUAGUGAGUGGAAGACUAGUUGUGUGGGAGAAUAAUAACUUAUAAGACAGGUUUUCACCCAAGUGCCAUAGAAAGACUGUCAUACAUUGAUGAUGAUGUGAAAUGUGAAUUUAAGGCCUAUUGUUUAAUCCAUUGCUCUUUUUAAUACAUUGACUUUUUAGUGUGGUAGGGCAGCCGAGAAGUUAGCAAUAUUUCAUUAUUUCUCAAGUAAAUCAACUCAAAAGAUCAUUACCAAAAUAGUAAAAUUCCACGUAUUUUCACUAUCUGCCAAGUACUAAAACCCAGCGUCAUCUUGUCAUAAAAAAAUAGCAAUAUAUUGGAAUCCUUUUUGAAGUCUUCAGUGCCCAAAGUAUGGAAGAGAUCAGUUAACAAAAAUGCAUUAAGAGGAAGAAUAAUAGGAUUUAUGGAUCUACUUUUAGUUUUGUUUUGUUUUUGCAUUUUCAUAAUGUUUAUUGAUAUGGAGAUAUUACUUUUAAACAUGCUAUAGUUUAGCUUACAUUUAGAAUACAUUUCCUGUAAAUGAAAAUGCACAAUAGUAAGCAAAGUUACUAGUACGGAUUGACCAUUGAAAUCCCAAUGAGGGUUCCAGGAGAGUAAGCCCUUGGAAAAGUCUCUUGUUAUGAUGGAACCAGGAAAGUCACAAGCAUGACAAGGAAUAUGUUCUGUGAAAAGAUGCCCCACGUGUCCAAAUGCCUGGAGACACUGGAUGAUCUUUUUUCCAGAAACAACAACAGCAGUUUUAAAUAUGAUUCAGCAAUCCCAGUGAACUUCGAUAUUCAAAGAAUUAGAAAUCAGUAUAUUGACAUGACAACUACACUUCCAUGUUUAUUGCAGCACUAUUCACAAUAGCCAAGAUAUGGAGUCAACCUAAGUUGAUUAUCAACAUAUCAACAGAUGACUGGAUAAUGCAAAUGUGGUUUAUAGCACAAAGAAAUGCUAUUUAGCCUUAACAAAGAAAUUAUUGUCAUUUGCAGCAUCAUAGAUAGAUCUAGAUAACAUUACACUAAAUGAAAUAAACCAGGAACAGAAAGACAAGUAUUGUAUGAGCUCACUUAUAAUGGGGAAUCUAAAAAAAGUAGAAAUCACAGAAGCAGAGAGCAGAAUGGUGGUUACUAGAGGCAGGGGGUGGGAGACAUGAGCAAGGAAAGGGGAGAUGUUAAUCAAAGGAUACAAGGUUUCCUUUAGACAGGAGAAAUGAGUUCUAGUGAUCUACCGCACAGCGUAGUGCCUAUAGUUAAUAAUAAUGUAUUGCAUAUUUGAAAAUUGUUAAUAGGUUUUAAAUGUUCUCACCAAAAAUGAAUGAUAAAUAUAUGAGGUGAUAAUAUGUUAAUUAGCUACAUUUCAUCAUUCCACAGUGUAUACAUAUAUCAAUACAUCACAUUUUGCCCCAUAAAUAUAUAGAAUUAUUAUUAGUCAAUUAAAAUCAAAUAAAAUUUUGAAGGGCAGUGCUUAAAUUUCAUUAUUAUGCAAUAUACUACCUAUUUGAUCUUUGUCCAGUCACCCAGCCUCACUGUAUCAUUGUUCUCCUCUCCAAAAAAUAAAAUGCUAACCAAUUAAAGAGAAGCCAGAGGAAAGCAAAUAGAAGCAAAUUAAAGUAUGUUGCAUAUACAUAGUUAAAUUAUGAAUUAUCUACUUGUAUGUGAAUAGGACCCUCCGACAUGCACUCGUAUUUUUAAAAUAAAACAUAGCCUAGUGUUCCCCUGUUGGAAUUAUAAGCAUGUGCCACUCAGAAAUCAUAUGUCAGGAAAUAACUUUGCUCUGAAAACGUUCCAUAUUUUUUUCUUUUUAUAGAGUUCUGGACUACUUGGUAAUUCCACUUAUCAUUUGACAGAUUACUUAUCUGUGACCUGUUGUACCUAUUCAUUUGGAGGACAAAAUCAGUAGCCUCUUUAAGUGCAGUAAGAUUAGUGAUGACUUUGUUUGUCAUCACAAACCAAGACUGUUUUCAGGACAGUAAGUCCCACACCUAGGUUUCAGUGGAAUUUGAUUUGUAAGAACAAAUCAGUGCUUUGGAAAUGUCGUUCUUAUUUUAAUGAGUUUAUAAUUAAGCAGAACACAGGUUGUUUUCUUUGCAGAAUCCCACCCACAAGGAUUCUAUUGAUUUACUGUUUAAUUAUAUGAAAUAGCAUGUCAGGGUGAAGGUAAAGCAGAAAACAAAUUAUGAUCUAAUCUAAAAUGUAGAUCUAUAUUAGAAUGAGACUGCUGACCUGUGAAAUACAUUCAAAUAGUAUUUACCAAAAUCAUUCCUAUUGUCAAAAUGAUGAAGAGACAUUUUCUCUGGGUGUUGCAGUGGGGACUGAGACAGCAGAAGUCUCCAAAGGUAAUUGUGAACUUAAAACUCUAAAAUAAUUUCCACAUAUUUGCAUCACAAAAUAUAUUUUUCAUUGUAGAAAGAAUAAUUUAAGUCCCUCAAAGUUUUUUAAAUUAUUACUUAUAGAGGAUAUAGGUUCGGAGACAACAGUGUUGAAUGUAGAAGAACUACUGAAAUUAAAUGCAAGAAUAUUGAAGAUUACGGCUGAGCCUGUUUGUAGUUGCAAAUGUUAUUGCUUUCACUAAAAUUACUUUGAGACUAUUAUGUUGCCAUGAACCUUAUUCAAGUGGCAAGUUUUCUCACCCAAAGUAUGUUCAUCUUUCUCAAAUGAAAAAUUAUCCACAUAUAGAACAGGUAUUUACAAUCAUAAAGCAAAAAAUUAGUUAUUAUAUUUUAAUUAUUAUACCAGGUCCUAUAGGUAGCAUCCACUGAUGUAGCAUCAUUGAAUACUACUUUAUAUAAGACCUGGCAAAAUUACACAUAGGAAUUAGAAUUUUAAAGUGAACAAAACAAUUCCUUUUCUAUAAAAGCUAAAAAUGGCAUUCAAAUGUCAUUAACAUAAAUUAACAUAUAUGCAGAAUAUUGUAAGACCACCAAGGAGGACUCUACAAAGAAGAGGUAAUUAUUUUUAUAUGAAUGGCAGCUUAUUUUCAUAAUAAUAAUUAAUCACAUAUAAUCAUUGGCUUCAUGUGAUGUCCAUUUGUGAAAUAACAUGAUAGAACAUAAAAUGUGUGCUAAGGGUAGAUAAUAUUGGAAAUCUAGAAUAGUACUCAGUUGAGGAGAACCUUGAAGGUCAAACUAAGCCACUAGAUUAUUUUUACUUCCUUGGGGAACACAAAAAGUUUUGUUUACUCUUUCCAACUCUCCGGGAAAUGGCCUGUGUAAAGAAUGCUUAAGAAGUUUGAUCUGAAAAUACAUCUAGAAUAGUCCUAACUGGGCUGUUCUCAGGUACCUUACUUGGAGAUUCCAUAUGAUUUCAAAAGCAUUUCAAUGAUGAAAAGUCUAAAAGAACACAUCCCAAAGAAUAGGCAUGUUAGGAAAUGACUCAGAAUAUCCUACAACUGAUACUGAGAAAGAUGUAGAUCACAGGCUAGGCAAAAUUUUCUGAGGGGUGUGUGGGCAACUAUUAUGUUUUGUUUUGUUUAUUGUAUGUGUGUGUGUGUAUGUGUGUGUCUAUAUAGUUAUUGGAGCACAAGCAAGGGCAUACAUACUCUGGGGGAAAAAAAUCUUCCAAACUCCUUUUACAAGGCCAGCAGUACCCUCUUGCCAUAACUAGGUAAGGAUACUACAAGAAAAUAAAAUUAUAGACCAAUAGGCCUGAUUAAUGUAAAUGCAAAAACUCAAAAAAAAAAUCAAAUUCGGCUUCACUUUAAAAGGAUUAUGCAUCAUGAACAAGUGAAAUUUAUCCCUUGGAUGCAAGGAUGUUCAACAUGUGCAAAUCAAAAAAUGUGAUACACCAUGUUAACAGAAUGAAAAAUAAAAAACAAAUGAUAAUCUUAACGCAGAAAAAGUAUUUGGUAACAUUUAAUGUCUUUUCAUAACAAAAAAUUUCAACAAAUUAUGUACAUAAACAAUGUACCUCAACAUAGUAAGUGCCAUAUACUACAUAUAAUAAGCCUGUAACCAAUGUCAUAUUCAAUGUUAGAAAUCUGAAAGCUUUUCGUCUAUGAUGAGAAACAAGAUUAAGAUGCUCACACUUUCUACUUCUGUUCAAUAGAGUACUGGAAGUCCUACCCAGUCUAACUAGGCAAGAAGAAGAAAUAAAAGUCUUCUGAAUCAGAUAAGAAGUAAAAUUGACUCUGUUUGCAGGUGACAUGAUCUUAUUUAUAGAGAACCAUAAAGACUAUUGGAAAAAACUCUCAAAGGAGGCACAUGACUGAUGCCUGAUCCAAUGUCAGUGAGUUCUCCUGGUCCAGGGUACAUUAUCCACCUGAAUUGAAGAAGCAGAACCAGCCAGAAGAGGAAACACUGUAAUAAAAUUAAGAUCUGGACUCUAAUUCUGUUUUAUUUUCUCAACGUAUAAACCAUGAGUAAAUUGUUAAUCUUAAAAGAAAAUGUUUUUCUUCCAUUGUUCCUUUGUAAAGUGGACAUGAUCACACCUGUGUUCAGAAGGAACUGAUUCAGAGGUAUGAGAAUAAGACUCACAACUUAUUUGUAUCUUAGAAGCCCCAUAAAGACAAGCCCAUAGUUUGAUGAUUUGCAAAGAAAAGAAAAAGUGACUCCAAAACCAAAGGCAGGAAAAGUGACCUUUCUCAAGCCAUUCUAGGCUACUGUACUAAGUGACUUUUUUCACAACAUGAAAAGCUGCUUCCUCCUUAUGCAUAACAGCUUCGGAGGGUAUGGCCUUUCCAUACGAAGCUUCUUGCCUUGCAAAUUAAUCAAUGGUCCAUGUGGCAGAGCCUGUAGACAGAGAAGAGGGUUCCUAGGGAGCAUCACAGCUGCCUGCCCUGAGAAAUGUUGCCUGAUACUGGGUGAAGAGCUGGUGAUUAGAAGGAGUGUUUUGUAAUUGGUGACCGCCAUAGGCUAAGAACUACACCCAAUACUCAUUUUCUUGUGACACAUAUGUCACAUAUGUCAUGUGGGGGAAGAAACAGCUUAUUUUAGACUGAUCCUGAAUUUCUCACUAAACCUAGUGAAUGAAACUGACAUGAUAAAAUAUAACAUAAAAAAUUAAUCAAUUAAGUUAAUUAAAUCAUAAAAUAGUGCUUUAUUUGUGCUGGGCUGUCUUCUAAACAUAGGAGGUUCAAGGGGAUACAAUGUUAAACAAAACACACACAGACCCUGUCCACAUGGAAUUUAUUAGCUAAUGGCAAUUUCUCAAAUCAUUUUCAUCCAGUAGCCAAAAUCCCCCAAAUCCUGAAUUCAUCAUUAUAUAUUUUCAAAUCAAUGAUAAGCUUUUUAAACCUAAUAUUUUCAGUGAUUACUUUGUUAAUUUUUUCUCAAAUAAUUCAAAUUUUU